rnacentral:misc_RNA from 1 species
UCCCUAUUGCUACGAUUUUGCAGAAAUAUUGCCGUUCAAUAUCCUAUAAUUAUACAAAAUUUAGAACAAAUCAUCGUCCGGGACGUCGUACGCUCCCCUUGUCAGCUGUACCGGAAGGACGUCACGGGUAUUUGAAUAGCCUGAUGGCGCCAUCUGUGACGAGAGCAAACGAAUUUGUACGAGGCUGACCGAAGCAGUCAGUCGCGGUCGCCAUUUUGUCGGGUAGUCAUCGGGUACGUCGUGUUUCUUUUCGGGUUGCUGUACAAUUUUCGGACAAGCAUCUCCGGAAAAUUUGGGGUCCGGCACUUUCGUUCGUUCCCCCAAAUGGCUUGUUUGAACACCCUUAAGCAGGAGAUCAAAACUCUUGAGUCCGUCUUCCCUAAGAGCCAUGAGAGAUUUCAGAUAAUGUCUGCGAGUGUGGACGAACUCAGCUGCAGGUUCGUCGGUAAAAAUGGGAAGAAAUACGAAAUACACGCCAAUAUUACAGAAACCUAUCCUUCGACACCACCAGUAUGGUUCGCAGAAUCAGAGGAGACAAGUGUCACGAAUGCGGUACAAAUUUUAAGUACUACCACAGGAAGAGACAACCAUGUCAUUAAUCAAGUUGGGAUUCUCUUAAAAGAAUUAUGUAGACUUCACUCGUUACCAGAACCUCCAGAUGUUGAAAGGUUGAGGACAGCUUUGGAUCCGUUACGCUUAGGAGGACCAAAUGAAGCUGCUGCACAAAGGAUGGAAGCAGAAGAUGCUGAAGAUAUUGAUGAAGACGAAGAAAGUGAUACAGAGGAGGACCUUCAUUUAGAUAUGGACGAAGGAGAUGUUAAUGCCAAGAGUAAGGGUGAAGAAAUAGAAUUGGAACAUCUUGCAACAUUAGAAAGGUUGAGACAAAAUCAAAGACAAGAUUAUUUAAAGGGAUCUGUCUGUGGAAGCGUGCAAGCCACAGACAGACUCAUGAAAGAAUUGCGCGACAUUUAUCGAAGUGACAGUUUCAAAAAAGGAAUGUACAGCAUAGAAUUAGUAAAUGACAGUUUGUAUGAAUGGAAUGUCAGGCUGAUGUGUGUUGAUCCUGAUUCACCUUUGCACAGCGAUCUCAUACUUCUAAAGGAAAAGGAAGGAAAAGACAGUAUUCUUCUUAACAUGCUGUUUAAGGAAACGUAUCCUUUUGAACCCCCAUUUGUUAGAGUCGUGCAUCCCAUGAUCUCUGGCGGGUAUGUCCUUAUAGGAGGCGCUAUUUGUAUGGAGCUCUUAACAAAACAAGGUUGGAGUUCAGCCUACACAGUCGAAGCAGUUAUCAUGCAGAUUUCAGCAACAUUAGUGAAGGGAAAAGCGCGCAUACAAUUUCAAGGACCGGGUAGUGCUAGCAAAGUGUGUGGACAAGGCCAAUACAGUCUAGCACGUGCACAACAAUCAUUCAAGUCUCUUGUACAAAUACACGAAAAGAAUGGUUGGUUUACCCCUCCAAAAGAGGAUGGCUAAUGAACACGAGUCCCUGGGAAACAAAAGUUUGGGGCGUGCUUACAGCUGAGACUUUAAUUCGUGCCGUCUUUAGACACGAGUCCAGGGCCUCUUGAUCUCUCGAAAAUUAACGGGUACUUAUCCAAAACAAAAUACAGAUAAAUGCAUUUUGAAAAAAGAUUGUAGUGAUUUUUUGUUAAGUUUUCAUUUCAUUUGAACAAAAAAAUAUUACACAUAGUUUAAUACAUUUUACAAAAUGUAUAUUUAUAUUUAAAUAUUUAAAUAAAUAGAAAUUUUCAAUUAUAACCCUUUCCUCGUUUUUUCAAAAAUUGCUUCUGGCUCGGGGCCUCCAUAAAGACGGUUCUGAAUUGUUCGACAUAAUUACGAGUAAAGAAAUCGCAUAGCAAUACUAGUUAGUAUAUAUUUCCUUAACGUAAUUGAAUAAAAUAGUUAAGGGUUGUAUAGAUGUACAUACACACGUUCGUAUGCGAGUUCUUAAAAUUUUCUUUUCUUUUUCGGAAACUAUUACUUUGUUUCCUUUUGAAAUUUAGAUUUGGUUGUGUGACUCGUUUGAUACGACCCACAUUUUCGUUAUAUCGUCUACAAAGCGAUUGAUGUACUUGAGAUUGACUCGAAAAUUAGGUCUGUAUUUUGGGCGUACUUUCAUGCGAACUGUUAGCGAUACUCUACUCUAUAUUGUACAGGAUGUUGCAAAAAUAUUGUACGAUACGAACACCGUCCGCGACGAAAUCACUGGUCUUUGGAUGGUACAAUCUUUUCAAGACAUUCUGAUUAAUUUCUAAUCGAACGUGAAAUUUCGAAAAUUUGUUUCUGCCACAGUAGCGUUUUACACUGGCCAGUCAAAGAACAAAAGACGCAUAAUAAAGGCACCGUUAGGAUCGCGAGA